AGCCACGAAACAUGUUUAUCUGAUAUUUUGGUAGUUCUCCUUUUGAGAGUAAUAACCUCGGUCUGUAUAAAGUGGAUGUUUAUACUGGUUUCUCUGGUAAGUAGUAGAACAAUUCUUGCAUAUUUUCACACUAAUACAAAGUCUUAGAAUCUCAUGAUUGCAUUGAACAAUAUUGUAAUGUGCUUAAUUGAUUUUAAUAUCAUGUCUUUUAGGAUUUUUCAAAUAAUUAGACCUUGAAAUCUUUUUAAGGUUAAGAUUUCUUAUUAACACUUUGAUUUUUUUCUAACUUGUUCUGAAUUUCUCUAGAGGUUUCAGUUUUUGUUUUGUAUGUUUUACUUUAUUGUUUGUAUUGUAAGUAUUCUUGGCUAGUUCUGUUUCGCGUUGUGCGUUCUCUAUGGAACAUUAGUCUCCUUCAGUUUUAUAAUGUUUUUCUACUAUCUUCCACAGAUUAUAAUUUGUACCUUUGGUGGUUUCUAGGCUUAUUAUGUAUGUUUCGAUUGUGUUAUUGCUAUAAUCCUUGAGUAACUUUUUCACUUAUCUGUCGUAUAUCGUUCUAAAUGUCGGUAUUUCCUCCAUUUCUUAUUCAUUCUGCAUUUCAUUGGUGAUAUAGAAAGUACUGUCACUGUUUGAACUAUCUUCUGCCUCCUCAAUAUUUUCUAUUGCUUUAAAUCUGCUGUUGGAAUUUAUCUGACUAUCUAAUCCCUUCCUGAAUUCACUUCAGUUAAUUUUUCCAAUUAUUCUUUAAGAAAGUCGCGUUCAAAUAGUUCAAAUAGUCAAAUAGUCGUUUUGUGUGUAAAUAUAAGUGAGCGAAUAACGGUAAUAAGCGAACGCAAGUGCGAAAUCGAACUAUAAUACUCGAAUACCGGGAUAUAACUAAGUCAAAAUGUUAAAAAAGAGGACGCCCAUCUUCUUCACUAAUAUUUACUGUCGCAAUAUUACAGAGAGAUGUUUGUUGUCAAAAAUAUGGACCACGAGAUACUGUACAAAACCAUAUUAUUGUCUACUAUGAACAAAAAAUUAUCCUCUAGGUUCAACACAUGCAAUACAUCAAGAGACAUUUUAGAAAAAUGUACAUUAUGCCCUCAUUUCGCAAAUUACAAAGGGUACACGAAUACAGAAAUCUACAAACCACGAGGUAAAUUAGAUAGAGACACAAAAAUUAUCAGAAGUAAGAAAUAAGAGAAAAAUUAUGUUUAGACCAGAAAAAUUAACACAGAAGAAGUAGAUAAUAAUAACUAUAUUAAUAAUAACUCAAUUCUGAACCAAUUUUUAUACAAAUUGAAAAUACUGUUUAACCAGUUCAUGAAUCAAAGCAAUAUAAUCAUAAAUGCGUUAACGACCGUUACCGAAAAAUAAUAACAAUGGGUUGCGACUUAGAAAUAAUCAUAUGAAACGCAAACGAUUUAAGAAAGCAAAAGAAAAUGGAUAUGCUUCUAUUUCUAAAAACAUAUUUUACAAAUAAAAACUACUCCAAUAUCUUUAUACAAAAUAUAUUCCAUGCUACAUUCAGACGGAACCACUCAUUUUAAGGUACUGCUACGAUUAUUAAUCCCAUGAGCGUCAUAGUUUAUCACUGAAAGUGUUUUCGAUACUAGCAUGAAUUUCCCGCUACUAGCGUAUAUGUACAUCGUAACCAGUACACUAUCUUGAGAAUUGAAUUUACCAUUGAACAAAAGAAGAUAAUUUUGAACAAGUAGGCCAGUAGGAUGAGAUAUUUCAAAGUAUAAUACAGCAAAGUCUCAUAAGUUAACAUAUCUGACAUAAACAGUGACAUACAUAAUAAUUUUCAUAAUCUGAUUAUAUCCGUCAUUUCCGCUGUGAAUUGACUUUGAUACUGACGUAUAUAUGCUACAUAAUCGCUUGAGGGAUUAAUGGAAAGAUGUCACACUGUGAAAUAAAUAAUCGAAUCACGAACAUCAAAAUAAAGAACUCAAGAGCUUCACUGCUCAUAGCUGCGGUAUAUUAUCUCCCACGAUACCGAACAUGUUUAAAUAUGUUAAAUGAGAGGUUUAUAGCAGGAGACAACUGCAAUGCAAAAUAUACGCAAUGGAGUUCAAGACUCAUCAACUACAAAGGUGAUACACUCCAUAAAACAAUGUUAUCAAGAGGAUAUAACUAGAUAAAAUCUACUUUGUUGGCCAACUAAUUCAGUAGAAACUUUCUUGGACUUUUAUAUUACAAAGGGAAAUAAAAUACGCUUAUUUUUGCGCACCACAAAAACUAACUAGUGACUAUCCUAUCUGUAAGAGAGGAAAAUAAUUCGUAGGCUAAAGAAGAUUAGAAUGAAGCUAAAAUUUUCACGAUACACUUAUCUAAAGUCUUUUAAUCCGAUGACGAUUUGACAUCUGGUAACGAGAGUAAUGCCAUUAUAGAUUACCCAAACACCUCAUCGUAACUUAGUAAAUAUGCUCAACAUUUCAGUUUCAAAGUAACAAAAGAGAUGGAAUUACUAAAUGAAGGAAAAAGCAUCUGAAUAUAAUUUAAUAACUGACAAAAUUUUAACAGAAUUACCAAAAAACAGUGCAUAAUCACAAUAAGCAAAUAAAUAAUCGAAUAAUUAGAAAUCAAUAAUUUCCAAUACGAUGGAAAUUUGCUGAAAUCAUCCUUAUUCCAAACUUAGAUAAAUAUCUCACUACUUUCUUAUAAAUCGAUUUCUUGCUCAAUUAUUUAUAGCCACCCUGUCAAAAUUAUCUGAGGAGUUAUUUUUAAAAUAAGUAAAACAGAUAAUAAAAGAAAAUUGUUUGAUACUGCGAUAUCGAUUUGGAUUCCGGGAACACUACUGGAAAGCAAGCAGGUCAAGCAAUCGAUAGAGUAUCGCAUACAAGCUAAUUAUACAAACUCAACCAGGAAUUGCCACGCAAUUAUUAUAUUCUACAGAAGUUGUAUUUAAACGAGAAAUAUUUUCACGUUAAACAAAAUGGCAGUUUCUUCAAGAUUAGUCCCAUACUAGCCAGUGUUUCUCAAGAAAGCGUUCGAGUCUCCAUGUUAUAUCAGAUAAACCUGUCUUUCUUCUUAUAUGGUAAACGCGCACUAUGCAAACAAAAUCGUAUAGCAAAUGCUGUGUAAAAAUUGAUUUGUAAGAAAGUAUAAAACCUGUACCAAACUAAUUAACACAUACUAUACAAAACGUAAUUUAAAAUAUAAAAAUACAUUCACUAAAAAUAUUUUAUUUCAUGAAAAUAUAAAUUAUAUUUAAGAAAAGUAAGAUUUGAAAUAUUCGUACGUGUGUUUUUUUAGAACUGUGUAAAAGUAAGUAAAAAACAUCGAGUAAAUGUAAAUGAAAUGUGUUAAAAAAUUGUGUAAUUAUGAAUAAAACGUGUUAAAAAGAACCAUGUGACUGUGAAUCGUGUAAUAUAAUGCUGUAUAAAAAGU